rnacentral:rRNA from 1 species
CGGGAGGAAGGUGGGGAUGACGUCAAGUCAGCAUGGCCUUUAUAUCUUGGGCUACACACACGCUACAAUGGAUGGCACAAUAGGUUGCAACAGCGCGAGCUGAAGCUAAUCCCCAAAGCCAUCCUCAGUACAGAUUGCAGGCUGAAACCCGCCUGCAUGAAGUCGGAGUUGCUAGUAACCGCAAAUCAGCAUGUUGCGGUGAAUACGUUCUCGGGCCUU